rnacentral:rRNA from 1 species
AACGAACGCUGGCGGCAUGCCUAACACAUGCAAGUCGAACGAGACCUUCGGGUCUAGUGGCGCACGGGUGCGUAACGCGUGGGAACCUGCACUUAGGUUCGGAAUAACUCCCCGAAAGGGGUGCUAAUACCGGAUAAUGUCUUCGGACCAAAGAUCUAUCGCCUUUGGAUGGGCCCGCGUUGGAUUAGCUAGUUGGUAGGGUAAAAGCCUACCAAGGCGACGAUCCAUAGCUGGUCAGAGAGGAUGAUCAGCCACACUGGGACUGAGACACGGCCCAGACUCCUACGGGAGGCAGCAGUGGGGAAUAUUGGACAAUGGGCGAAAGCCUGAUCCAGCAAUGCCGCGUGAGUGAUGAAGGCCUUAGGGUUGUAAAGCGCUUUUACCCGGGAUGAUAAUGACAGUACCGGGAGAAUAAGCUCCGGCUAACUCCGUG